rnacentral:sRNA from 1 species
AACAAGUCGGGCAAAAUGUCCGCUUGCAAUCUUCAAGCUGCCUGAAAUUGAUAUCGGCUUUCCUUUGACCACGGAUGUACUGGCACUGUUGAAAGCGUGAUACCGGCGAGGUCAGGCACAUUGCCUGGCCUUUUUGCUG